GGAUCCGUAGCUCAGUUGGUUAGAGUACUGCCUUGACAUGGCAGGGGUCGGCGAUUCGAGUUCGCCCGGAUCCACCA
rnacentral:tRNA from 2 species